AAUCUUAUAUUUUAACUUUAAAAAUAUUAAAUUGCAAAUUUAAAAAUGAUAUUUUAUCUAAGAUUU
rnacentral:tRNA from 1 species